rnacentral:rRNA from 1 species
AUUGAACGCUGGCGGCAGGCCUAACACAUGCAAGUCGAGCGGAUGACGGGAGCUUGCUCCUUGAUUCAGCGGCGGACGGGUGAGUAAUACCUAGGAAUCUGCCUGAUAGUGGGGGACAACGUUUCGAAAGGAACGCUAAUACCGCAUACGUCCUACGGGAGAAAGCAGGGGACCUUCGGGCCUUGCGCUAUCAGAUGAGCCUAGGUCGGAUUAGCUAGUUGGUGAGGUAAUGGCUCACCAAGGCGACGAUCCGUAACUGGUCUGAGAGGAUGAUCAGUCACACUGGAACUGAGACACGGUCCAGACUCCUACGGGAGGCAGCAGUGGGGAAUUUUGGACAAUGGGCGAAAGCCUGAUCCAGCAAUGCCGCGUGGGUGAAGAAGGCCUUCGGGUUGUAAAGCCCUUUCGGAUAGAAAGAAAACUCUUACUCUAACAUAGUAAGAGAAUGACGGUACUAUCAUAAGAAGCACCGGCUAACUACGUGCCAGCAGCCGCGGUAAGAC